GAGUUUAGGGUUUAGGGUUUAGGGUUUAGGGUGUUUAUAAAGGGUUUAGAGUGUUUAUAAAGGGUUUAGGGUUUAGGGUUUAGUGUUUAGGGUUACCCUAAACCCUUUAUAAACAUCUAAAGUUAGAGGUUCUUAUGGUUCUUAACCUUUUUUGGUUCUCAUUUGAACCACUCCCUAUUUAUUCAUUGCUAUUAUAUUGAAAUUAAUAACACUAUUGCAAAUAUGUCCAAGUAUUUUGGUGAUUUAGCGGGGACAAAACCCCAUUUUUACAGAAGGUAUCAAAAUAGCCCUAUAUUUACAAAUGAACUAGGGAACAAUAAGGGUGAGCAAGAAUGUUGUUAGUACGGAACAUAUAUUAGUAACGGUCCCGAACCAAACUGUAUAUCAUUAACCGAGUCAGUAUUUGGUUCCUUAGAUAUCCAAUUUUUUAGUUAUUGGUGUUAUCUGGUUUGGUACUCUCGUGGUCCUGGUACAAUUCAAUACCGGUAACAAAUUUUAUGUUUAUAUUUUGGGUUAUUGACAUAGAAGCAAAAUAAUGUUUUCCAUUUGGUUUUAAAAGCUCCUUCAUCUAAUUUUCAUACCUAUGACCUCACUAAAAUGACAAAUUACUUGUCAUUUAGACAAUGAGAGUCGGUCACCCGGUAAUUAAAUGUUACGUGGCCUUUAGAUUUUCGAUUUCUUCAAUUAAAUGACAUCUCCUCAGUGACACAUCAACUUUGCCUUCGUAAUUGUUCAAACGGGCUUUACUCGAGUCGUUUAUCAAAAUCGUGUUGAAGUGUUCAAGAUUCUAGCACUUUUCUUUCCUAAUUCAGUAAGUUUUCUCUCAUCUAGGGUUUUUUUGUAGUUAAAGUUCAUGGCGAACCCAGACCCUCUUUUCUUGAAAGUGCAUUUGCACUAUAACAGUGUUUUUACAAGACACCCACAUAGAUAUGCUGGAGGUGAUACAUUCAUGUUUACUGAUCAUGAUUUAUCUGGAAUGGAUUUACAUAGGUGUUGUGAAUUUAUAGAAAGGUUUGUCGGAGAACCUUUUUAGAAACUUUAUCACUCAGCACGUGAUCAAACUAUGGAAAAUGGUCUUACAAUAAUAUCCAACGAAAUGGAUUAUCAAGUGUUUAUCGAUGUUGCUUAUCAAGCACCUGAAAGGCCAAUAGACUUAUAUUUAGAUCAUAUUGGGGAAGGAUUUGAGGACUGAUUUGAUGUAGAAAGUGAUGAACGUGGUUCAGUGAUCCAGGAGGAUGACAAAGAACCUUCACAAGGAAUCCCUGAUCCUGAACCAACCUAUAUGUUUGAUGUUGGUUUGGAAGAUGAAAUCAAUGGGGAAUAUUGUACCCCUCUAAACAAGACCAAGGACAAUGAGUUUCUUAAAAAUUUAUACCCAGAAGGUGAGAAGAGAAAAAGGUUGAAGAAAUAGAUAAUAGUGAGGAAUUAGAUAAUGAUGUUCUUGAGGAACAUCCUAUCUUUAAUACUCAGGUACACUGGAAGAAGCAAGUACCAAUUUUAGGCAUGAGAUUUGAGAAUCCAAAACAGCUUAAGAGCAUGUUAUGUAAUUAUGUUGUUAAGAAUGGCUAUUAACUAUGGUUCGAAAAGAAUGACAACAAGAGGCUUCUAUUAUUGUGUUGUAAAGGUGCUUGUACUUUCAUACUAUUGGCAAGUUGGAUGAGUAUAUAACACAAUUUUUAAAUUAAAUCUCUAAAAAGUAAGCAUCAAUGUGCUAGGAACUACAAAUUGGGUUCAAUUGUCAAUUACCGAUGGAUUGGUAGCCACUACACCAAGGAGAUUUUGCAUAGACAGAAACUGAAAAUUAGGCAAUUAAGAUUGGAGGUCAUCAAGAAAUUUGUUAUUGAAGUCAGUAUUAGCCAAUGCAGAAGGGCAAAAUAGUAUGUUAUGAAUAUUAUUGAAGGUAUCCUUAUUGAUCAUUAUGCUAAGCUCUGGUCUUACGGAGAGGAAAUUAGAAGAUUCAACCCUGGUCCAACAGUCAGCAUGGACAUACUUACAAUGCUAGAUGGAACUAAUCACUUUAGUAACUAUUAUAUUUGUUUUGAUGGUGUAAAGAAAGGGUGGUUAGAAGGGUAUAGGAAGGUGAUUGGAACUGAUGGUUGCUUCUUGAAAAUGUAUGUUACCGGUGAGUUGCUUUGUGUUAUGGGGAAAGCUGCUAGGGACCAAAUAUACCCAAUAGUCUGGGAAGUAGUAUGUGUUGAAAAUAAGGAAAAUUGGAAAUGAUUUAUGUCAUUGUUAAGUGAUGAUCUCAAUCUUGGUAUGGGAUAAGGUUUCACUCUUAUGCCAGACCAACACAAGGUAAAAAACAUUUUAUUACUUCUCUUUCAUAAAGUAUAUUACCUAAUUCAUUUUUUACUACUUGUAUGUUGGUAUAAGGUCUUAUGGAAGCUGUCAAGGAAUUGUUACCCCAAGCUAAGCAUAGGUAAUGUGCAAGGCACAUUAUGACCAACUUCAGUAAAAAGUUUCCAAGGGCAUAGUUUGUUAAUUUUUUUUGGUAUGCAUGUAAUUCAACAACAGAACAAUCUUCGAAGGAAAUAAUGAAGGAUAUUGAGCUUAUGAGUCCAGAGGAAAGUAACUACUUGAUGGAAAAGGACCCUAGAACAUGGUCAAGAGCUUACUAUCAAGUUGGUAGAUGUUGUUCUAGUGUGGAGAAUGGAGGAUGAGAAAGUUUCAAUGCACUCAUAGUUGAAGCCAGGAAGAAACCUAUCAUCACAAUGCUUGAAGAAUUUAGAAUAUAUAUGAUGAACAAAUUGUUCACAACAAAACUUAAUGGAUGGUCAAGUGAUGUUUCACUUGAAAUAAGGUUGAGGUUGAAUGAGUUAAAGGCUAAUCAAAGGUUUUGGGAGGUAUUGCUAAGUGGACUCAACCAGUUUGAGACUAGUUCAGGAAGUGAGGCAUAUGAAGUUUAUUUAGACAAGAGGACAUGUCCAUGCAGGAUGUGGUAACUUAAUGGUUAUGGGUGUGUUCAUUUUGUGGUUGCCAUUAGCUACCUAAAUAGAGAUGUGGAGAAAUACGUGGAUCCUUAUUUUUGUAGAGCAAUGUAUAUUAAGACCUACUAGUAUAAAUGUUUUCCAGUGAAUGGAAGCAAGAUGUGGCCUGAAACUAAUUACAUUCCAACUUUACCCCCAAGAAUAGAAACAUGCCUGAUAGGCAAAAAAAGUGUUAGAGAUGUGAGUGAAAAGGGUGGAAACCAUAGAGUUUCUAAGAAGGGUAAGAAGAUAUCAUGUAUUUUGUGCAAAGUGGAAGGACAUAGUAAGAAGACAUGUCCAACUCUUGAUAUGCCAAGACCAAACAAGUUACCAACUAGGGUUAACAUGACUAAGACUACAAAGGUAAUUACCACUUCUCAUUUCUUAUUUUUUAUUCAUUAUUAAAUAUGUGUCAUUUAACUGUAUAUUAUGUGACUAUAACUGGCUCAAAAAGAGGAGAAAAGGACUGCAGAAGUGGCAAGUGGAAGUGGGACAUGAAUGGAAAGUGGAGAUACACAUGGUAGUAGGGUUAAGAGGACUAAGACAACAAAUGGUGAAAAUGUGAAGAAAACGACCGCAUAAGUGGCAAGUGGAAAUAGGACAGGAAUGGAAGGUGGGGAUACACAAGGUACUAGAGAGAGUGGGACUACACAAGUGACAGGGGAGAAGGGUAAUGUUGUACUUCCCCAGGUUAAGAGGAGGAAAAAGUGUGAAAGGAUCAUCAACAAAAAAUUGGCAACCCGACUUAUAGGAAAGAAUGGAGAGGGGAACACUUCAGAAAAACCUGUCAACUUAAUGUCGUUUUUGCAUGGGAACUGCAUGGGAUGUGUCCUUUAUUAUGCAGGCUUUUGUAUGUAAUGCUUUGUACUGGCAUUUGUAGUAAAAACAUGUUAGAAUGUUUGCUUUUAAAGAUUCCAUGUCGGAAUUGUUAUGUAAUGUUUUGCACUCACUUUGGUUAUUCAUAUAUUCUAUUGUGGGAUCUAA